GAAAUGCGAUAAGUAAUGUGAAUUGCAGAAUUCAGUGAAUCAUCGAAUCUUUGAACGCACCUUGCGCUCCUUGGUAUUCCGAGGAGCAUGCCUGUUUGAGUGUCAUGAAAACCCUCAACCCUAGAUUGGUUAAAACCUUUCUUUGGUUUGGAUUUGGACGUUUGCCGAUGAUAAGUCGGCUCGUCUUAAAAGUAAUAGCUGGAUCUGUCUCGCGACAUGGUUUGACUUGGCGUAAUAAGUAUUUCGCUAAGGACAUCUUCGGAUGGCCGCGUUGCAGGACUAAAGACCGCUUUCUAAUCCAUUGAUCUUCGGAUUAAUACUCUUGACAUCUGGCCUCGAAUCAGGUAGGACUACCCGCUGAACUUAAGC
rnacentral:misc_RNA from 1 species